UACGGGGGGUGCAAGCGUUGUCCGGAAUGAUUGGGCGUAAAGGGAGCGUAGGCGGCUUAGUAAGUCAGAAGUGAAAGCCCGCAGCUCAACUGCGGGACUGCUUUUGAAACUGCCAAGCUAGAGUGUCGGAGAGGUAAGUGGAAUUCCUAGUGUAGCGGUGAAAUGCGUAGAUAUUAGGAGGAACACCAGUGGCGAAGGCGGCUUACUGGACGAUGACUGACGCUGAGGCUCGAAAGCGUGGGGAGCAAACAGG
rnacentral:rRNA from 1 species